GGCCCUGCGGUGAGCUACGCCGCGUAUCUCACAGACGUGCGCAUACCUACACAGAGACGUAAGACGACUAUGCGCAGCAGCGGCCCCGCCCCCGCCCUCAUGCAUCGCCCUGCCGCUCGUCUGCCGGUGCACUUUCUGGUCGACAUUGACCACACGCUAGUGCAUCCCAUCUACAGGCAUGUAGCGGGCGACAACUCGGACACCACGAGGUGCAGCAGCGCUUCACUGCCGCCAGCGAGUGCGCGGGGGUGGUGGCCGCUGAACUACGUUGGCGGCCGCGUCACUCACGUGCAGCUUCGGCCUCAUGUUGUACCAUUCCUGUCACACGUGCUGCUGGAUCGCUCGCUGGACACCAGCGAGACGCAGGUGCAUGUGUCCCUUUACACGCGUCAGAGCGCCGCCUACUGCGCCGCCAUUGCGUAUCAGGUGCUGCUGCCAGCCCUCGCACAGUCCAAGGGCGAGCCGUUGCACGAGUUUCGCCAUCAGGAAGUCUUUCACGAACUCUUCGGUGGGGAACACUGUGUGCGAGGCAGGUUUGAGGCAAUGCAUUGGCUGAACCCAUCCCCUGGCUUCCUAUCUGAGGGCAGCCCCGCUGAUCAGUGGCAGCUAGGGGAAGCCACAGCAUCCCUCGAGUGGCGCAAGACGAUCUUCGUGUUGCCCAGCCCCCUCACCACGUUGCUCGUCGAUGAUCACUGCGUGAACUUCCGCGUCACGGAACUGAGCACCGGCCAUGGGGUGCUGGUCCCGCCGUACUACGCCGACGCAGUGGCAUGUGCAGCAGAUGAUUGCUUUCGCGUGCCGCCGACUGGCAGCCUCUGCGAUGUCAUCGGCAUGGAUCUUGACAGAAGAGGUGGCUGCAUCUCGAGCGGGCGUGCGAUGCUCGGCCGCGUAGACGUCGACGACGUCGUUGUGCGUUUGCUAGACGUGCUGGAGGCCUUUGUGCAGUGCUGCCACUCCCAUCGCUCUGCCAUCGAGGCGAUGCACGGCGGCUCUGCAGGCAUGCCUAGCCCUGACGAGCGAACACCUUGUGCAGCGUGCAAGUCGGCAGGAACGCCGCGUCCGCCGGUGGAUGCAGCGCUGAGCAACUUCAACUUCUUCGAACGCUCGCCGCUCUACCGACGACAGUGGAACGCGUUCCACGCCCACCGCGCGGACUUCCUGCACAGCUACUUCGCCGGUUGAUGCCCACUUUCUUUGCCUCCACACACACACACACACACCUGCGUAUGAGGGUGCCUCUCUAGUAGCGCUGCUGUGCCGAUUUGUUGUAUGGGGGCGCGUCGCCGUAUGCCACCGCCCUGCGUUGGUCUUUGGGGCAGUGUCGUUGCCGCUGCUUUGCCAUCCGACCCUCUGCUCUUUCCUCUGCUGCACACGUCAGCUUCGCUGUAAGACCUCGAAGAGACGCCGUUCUCGUGUGCCCUGCAUCACUGGAAACGCAUCAACUCGUCUACAGGGCACACCUCAGGUAGACGUCUUUACGCGCUCGUUGUCCGCACGUCGAUUGUCUUCUUCCUGUGCCUCGACUCUCCCUUUCUUGCCCCUUCUCUCGCAG
rnacentral:misc_RNA from 1 species